rnacentral:tRNA from 5 species
GCGGGUGUAGUUUAGUGGUAAAAUCCCAGCUUCCCAAGCUGAUGUCGCGAGUUCGAUUCUCGUCACCCGCUUCA